UAUUGCGGGUCAAGCCUGCCCACUGACAUAUUUAAAGGCCGCAGUACCCUGACUGUGCAAAGGUAGCAUAAUCAUUUGUCUUAUAAUUAAGGACUAGAAUGAACGGUCCGAUGCGGGCAUAACUGUCUCCCUUAUAUCAUUAAAAAUUAAUUUAUUGGUCAAAAAGCCAAUAUUAAAUUAUUAGACGAGAAGACCCUAUUGAGCUUAAUUCAUAAUAUUUAAUACCUAAAAAUAAAAAUUUUGUUGGGGCGACAAAGGAACCAUCUAAAUCUUCCUGCUUUUAUUCUAUUUUAAUCCUUACCCUCGAUCCACUUAUAGUGAUCAAAUAACAAGUUACCAUAGGGAUAACAGCAUAAUUCUUUUUAAGAGCCCACAUCGAAAAAAGAGUUUGUGACCUCGAUGUUGGACUAAGGUACGUUAAAGGCGCAGCUGCUUUUAUCUAUAGUCUGUCGACUAGCCU
rnacentral:rRNA from 1 species